AUGCCAUGGAGGCCAAGGACCAGAGGGGAAACCCUUCUCCCACCUAGGGAGAAGGGCAAGGAAGAAGAAGAAGGAGGGGGGCUCUCCCCCCCUCGCUUCCGAUGGCGCCGGAACGCCGCCGGGGGCCAUCAUCAUCACCGCAAUCGUCACCAACACCUAUGCCAUCUUCACCAACAUCUCCAUCACUUUCCCCCCUUUAUCUACAGCGGUCCACUCUCCCGCAACCCGCUGUACCCUCUACUUGAACAUGGUGCUUUAUGCUUCAUAUUAUUAUCCAAUGAUGUAUUGCCAUCCUAUGAUGUCUGA
rnacentral:rRNA from 1 species